rnacentral:rRNA from 1 species
GAUGUAUUUAUUAGAUAAAAAACCAAUGCCCUUCGGGGCUCCUUGGUGAUUCAUAAUAACUUAACGAAUCGCAUGGCCUUGUGCCGGCGAUGGUUCAUUCAAAUUUCUGCCCUAUCAACUUUCGAUGGUAGGAUAGUGGCCUACCAUGGUUUCAACGGGUAACGGGGAAUUAGGGUUCUAUUCCGGAGAGGGAGCCUGAGAAACGGCUACCACAUCCAAGGAAGGCAGCAGGCGCGCAAAUUACCCAAUCCCGACACGGGGAGGUAGUGACAAUAAAUACUGAUACAGGGCUCUUUUGGGUCUUGUAAUUGGAAUGAGUACAAUUUAAAUCCCUUAACGAGGAACAAUUGGAGGGCAAGUCUGGUGCCAGCAGCCGCGGUAAUUCCAGCUCCAAUAGCGUAUAUUAAAGUUGUUGCAGUUAAAAAGCUCGUAGUUGAACCUUGGGCCUGGCUGGCCGGUCCGCCUCACCGCGUGCACUGGUCCGGCCGGGCCUUUCCUUCUGUGGAGCCGCAUGCCCUUCACUGGGUGUGUCGGGGAAACAGGACUUUUACUUUGAAAAAAUUAGAGUGUUCAAAGCAGGCCUAUGCUCGAAUACAUUAGCAUGGAAUAAUAGAAUAGGAC